UAUAAGAGCGGAGGCCGUGAACCGCUGCCUGUAACUGGGCGCCUGGGCAGCGGGGAGCCGCUGGCGCACCCGGCCGCUUACCAG
rnacentral:ncRNA from 2 species